CUGGAGUCUAUAGAUUUCUAGAAUUUUUAAGUGCUUGGAAUUCGCUUAAUAUAGGGAUGUUUAGUAGAGGUUUGUGGCUUAUUGUUUUCUAGGAUGGUGGGGUACUCCGCUGUUUUUGAGCUGCACUUUAAUCUCUAGAUGUAUAAACCCACUCGUUUUAUUCUGCAGAGGACUAAAACCAGCUUGAUUGCAUGGUACCUGUGGCUUGAGAGCGUAGAUGCAGCAUUACCAAGAGACUGAGCAGGGUUGUAUCAGAGUCACCUUUUUUAUCUGCAAGGGGUGCUUGGUUCAGUUGUGGAGAGGGAAGGGAAAUCAUCAUGUCAGGAAGCUCUGAGGGAAGGUGAGUGGUGUCAGCCUGGUCAUCCCUUAUCUGAAGCGAAGGGAAGACGCUCAGGUGUUUCCCUCAGAGGGUCCGGGGUGAGACUGUUUGGGAUAGAGGAGCAGUGUAGCAGGUGGGUGCUUGCAAGCACAGUGGUCAUUUUGUCCUUUUAUGUUCCCAGGUGGCGUGGGUGAUGCUGGCCGCUCCUUUCAAGCUUGGACCUAAUUUGCAGGUCCAGAGGCAAGUGGCCUGCUGUUUUGAAAGGAUAAAAGUAAAGCUGGGGUCGCUUAUGUUUUUGAGGGUUGGGUGCUACUGCUGGCAGCUGAAUGUUUAUCUUCUUCCUGCCUUUCUCCUUUGUUCAGGCUGCAAUGCAGUGUGCAGUGCAGGAUGUGUCAACCAGCUGCCUCUGCAGUGACUCUGGUGUGUGAUGAGCAGAGGUAACUGUUGUUUUUGGGGUGCGGUUGUCACUGCAGUUAUUUUCCUACAUCCAGUAGAGUAAAAUUCCAGUUUGCCUUUUAGAGGUGCUGUAAGUGGGUGAAGAGAACAGAUGGAAGCAUCUGCCACGUGGGGCAGGCAAGCGGCUGAGGGACAGGAGGGGAUGAGAGUAUGUGAUUUUUUUCCCGGGGGUGGAAUGGAAUUGAUUUUGUUGGUGUAUAAUCUGUUCUGCUCCUAGAUUUUUCUUUCAAUGCAAAUAAAAGUUUGUGCUAAUUCCAUUUGAAGAAGUUCCAGUUACUUGCUGGGUCGUGUUGUCCUUUCAAUGUUAAAAGCUGCAGCAAAAGCAUGGGGAUUAUUGCUUCUUGUGGAUGAUACUGGCUGCACUGUUGGACCUUGGACUCGGAGAGGAAGAGUGAAUGCUGGUACUCUGUUUUUUGCAGCUGAUGAUGAGCCUUCAAUUGGCUAAGAUGACAAUCGGUGCCUGUGCAUUUCUUGAGGCGGAGGGACUUUACCAUGCAGCAACCUAAGAGCUAAGUUGUGGGGCACCUGGUAUUUGCAUAUCUUGGGUGGCUAACGGGAGCUGGGAGCCAGAGCAGCAUGGAGCGUGCUGGCUGAAUAGACUUGGUGCCACUGUGAGGGGUGGUUCAGGCUGCUUGUGGCUGGGUCACCAGGCUAAUAGAAGCAGCGGGCUUAUUUUGUAGCAUGAGUGCGUGUGCCAGGCAGGACAGUUUCCUUCAGUUUGUCUGUCCUGUAGUGUUGCUUCUGCAGUGUCUGUUCUGUGCUUCUCGGGUCUUGAUAUCCUCCUGGCUUUUUAGACCGGACUGACCAGGCAGGCGACUUGGUAGCUGUGCAGAAGGGCCUCAAUGCUUGUUUUGUCCUCAUGGCUCUGAUCAAGCAGUGACUGCAAGACAAGAAGUGCUCGAAAGUGCAGAUCUGUUUCAGGUCUUGUGCAUCAUAUUCGGUUUGAGAUCGCGUCUGUUUCCAUCCUCACUCUUGCAGAAGUCAUCUGGGCCGCAUCAGGAGC